rnacentral:lncRNA from 1 species
AUUUUGGAUAAAAGUAGUCCUUUCCAAAACUAAAUUGGUAGGAAUAUUGAAUAGACCAAAUGCCUAACCUAAAUUUCCUUUCGCAACUCAAUGUAUCAAUCACCAGAGAAAUCUUAAAGCACCAUUUCACUUUGAAGGCAUGAAAAAACUGAAAGUAAAGAGCGAGCGUAAACAGUACUAAUACAAUAAGGCGAAGAUGUUAUUUCUAAUAUAGCUCAACUCAGAGGGGAUGAUGCACCUCUUUGCAAUAAUCACAAUCCGAUUUUCUUCUCCACCUUCUGAAUUUGGUUAAGGAAAAUCCCACUCAUCUGUGUAAACGAAAGAAAGAAGGAAGGAAACAUAUGUUAAAAGCUAACAUAAAACUAAGCAAUAAGAAGUUAGGAAAAGUAUCUAGAGACACUGCAAGCAGCAGUGUAUUUUAGGAAAGCAGCAGCGAAGAAUCCAUAGACACUGCUAAUCCCUGUAUUUUAGGAAAGGGAAAGGUACUCUCGUAAGAACGUGAAAUUUGCAGCAUAUUCAUCGUUCAAUGAUAACACUAACAUUCAGAAUGAUCAAAUGUGAAGAGUGAGGAAGAAAAUUAUUUCAACACACAAAUACCCGAGACAACCUUUUCUCUUUUUCCAAGUUAUUGAUGCCAUAGCAGAAAUGAAUUAAAUGACUACCUAGAAAACAUUCUCGAGCCAGAGCAGAAGAAUCUACUCAUCGGCAACACCUCAAAGGCAUAGCUGACCCCAUCUAACAGUCUGCACUAAUAAGAUAUAAGAUAAAAUAAAAAUAGAUCAGAUUGGAUCAUCACCGAAUCAAGUUCGAUCUUUAAGGUUUUUAGCAUUGAACUCGUACAAAUAAUAUUAUGGAUUUAGAUGUAAUAUUAGUUGAAAUUAUAGCCGGUUUACAAAUAUUUCAUGUAUAGACCACAUUGAAAGAACUUGAGAUGAACCCAUUGCCAAAGAGCUACAUCUGUCAAUGCUCAUCGCUACAUAUGAGAUUAUAAAGUGACUUAUGAAGUCACCAUCUUGGUGCACAAUAAUCAGACAAUCACAGUAGAUACAAAAGUACAACAAAAGCCUGAAAUGUUAAGUCUUGCGCAUUUACAGAGACUUCUUAGAGGCGCCCGUAAAAUUCUAAGGUGUAACUAAUUUUCACAUUCAAAGAAAGAACUCAAAAUUAUGAGCAUAGUUGAGAAAGAACUCGAAAUUAUGAACAUAGUUGAGGGCACUAUAAUUUUCAGCAAAACACACUCCCCAUGGAAGUCUACUAUCUCCCUGCGAAUCUUAAUGAUCUUAUUAUUACGAUCCUUCGCCUUUGCAACUCUAUCUUGCAACUCCCAUUACCAAUUCACAGGACAUGUCAAAUACAAGAUCAAAAUUUAACAAGAUCUUGCAGAAUCAUUCUUUAUUUUUAAGAAGUAACGAUCUUUCUCCUCCUUAUCGGAAACAAGUAGAUGCAUAACCAAUAGUUAAUAUGAAAUACAUAUGUGGCCAAUGAUUUCUUUGUAUCCCAACACAACUAAAAACAACAAUUACAAUCAAAAGUUAAAGUGGGUACCUCGAACAUUAGACUUCCUAAUACCUAACUCCUCUUUCGUGUAUAGAGUAAACCCAUCUAUCUUUUUCUUCCUCAAUCGAUGCGGUGGCUUUAAUAAAACUCCAUCUUUCGAAAUCUACCUAUUUUUUCAACUAUCUCAGCUCUGUAAGGGCUAUUCCACUUGAUUAUUUUUAUUUUCUGAGUUCUUCCCUUUUCCAGCUACAAUUCCUUUGAUUUCAUUGUCAGAAUUUUUGAAUUCAGAGAAGAAAUGAAAAGUAGAUUUUCCAUUUCUCCAGAGUAUAACUACUGCUAGUCUUGCACGGGUGAAAAUACAACAUACAAGGAAGAAUUCAAGGAAGGACUAAGGAAGGGUAAUUUGGUAAACAAACAUACUUUUAUAAAAAUUAUAUAAAUAUAUAUUAUCUUUAAUAUAUCAAACCAAAGAUUACGUAAAAGAUAAUGUAUGUACAAAUAAUACCAGCAUUAUUAAUACUUACAUUAAUAAUACAAGCAUUACUAAUACACCUUAUUCAGCAUUAUUCUUAUACACUCUACCAAACGACCCGUUAAAAAGACAAAUAUGGCGUGUACCUUCCCAUUUUUUUGUAAAAGCUUUUUUUGAAUUUUUCCUUUUAAUUAAAUCUAGACAAUUGAAAAUAGUAAAAAAGGGGACAAUAAAAGCCAAGUAAAGUGUUGAUAAAAUUUUGUCUAUUCAAAUGGAUUAAUAUUGAUAAACAUUGAUAAACAGUAUCCCUAAGUGAAGUUUGAGUUUUAGCUAUUCAUAAAAAAUAAUAUUAAUUUUCGAAGAAAACGUGGAGAUUGUAACGCUUGUUAUUUUAAAUAAAUAUUACUGGGAAAGUAAAUAAUUAGUCCAAUAUUAAUAUUGUUAAAGUUCCUUUUAUUUAAAGAAGAAAUCCUUUUAACUAGUCAUGCGAGAAUUGCGAAAAAAGGCAAGGACAUUAAUUUUAUUUCGAUGGAAAAUUGCAAACUCUUAAUCAAUAAAAACACAAUAAACAAGAAAAUUCCAAUAACCAAUGAUAACUAAUUACUGUUUCGAGUCUUCAAAAAAAUGACAACAUAGCACGGAUAUUAAACAAAGAAAAGAGACUAAGAGAUACUAGACUCCUAACGGGCUUGAGUUUUCAAGAAUACGCAAUUCCGAAGGUCUGCGAUUCUAGUAGCGAUUAACUCGAUGUUGGGUCAAAAUGAGUUCCGUUGGAACUCCAACUCCCGCGUUCACAUAAAAAGAUAAAAGGAAAUAAGGAUUAGUAACUAAUUUAAGUGAUAUAAACGAGUAAUGAAAAUAAUGCAAUCGGUGACCUGGUUGUGCAGUCCAAAGUAAAUAAGAUUGAAUAUGAACUCAAACAAAUUUUCAUCCAACUGGAGCGAUCAUGCACAUAAAAACCAACAGUCCUCCCAUGUUUCAAACUAUCCAGCCAAAGUUAUCAUUUUUACCCAAGGGUAAUUAAGAGCAGCUCCCAAUUUAAAAAAAUUUCUUUCAAAGUGCAGGAAUAUGACAAUGUAAAUUAAUCCAAUCAAACCUCUAUCUAUAUUCACGAAACCAACUUCCAACACUCACUAAUGGGGGCUUUACGUUCGUACGAGGUGAGGGAAGGACACGUCCCCCCCAGAAUGUUUCCCGUGACAUUGUCAACAAAUGACAAUCUCUCUUCCACCGCAACCCGUCACACAAUAAAAAAUGUUUGAAGUCCUUGUCUCCGAACACUCCCAACGACAUUUCAAUCAUUCCAUCCGGAUCUUGAUACAAUUUCAGCGGACUUCAUUACGAUUAUGGAAAAGGGAAUUUGAAGGAACGUUACAUUUCUUUUUAAAAGAAGAAGAUCCAAAAAAAGAAAAAUUGAAAACGACAUUAAAUUUUACUGCAGCCCGAGCCCGAAACAAAGAACACCAACACUAAUAUGAUUUUGAAUCAAAAAUAACAUAAUCGCGUAUUUACUGAUCCAAUACAACAUAAAAAAAUUCAGAAUUAAAAUCCAUAUCCAUCCAUCGAGUAACAAUUUAAUCAAUACAAAAUUUAAACCACAUCAUGCCUAUUGAGUGUGAACAAAUAGCAACAAAAUCAAACCGAUUGAAACCCGCACAGGGCCACACGUUCAUAUACCCAUCAUUUUGCGAUCUGUGAAAUAAUAUUUUCAAAAUCAAAACUGAUUUAUCCAUGCAGUCCAAAAAAUGUAACGACACUAAAAAAAGUGACGAAGAGAAAAAGUCGACAAAGAAAUGAGAAGGGGUGAAUUCGCACCUUUCCUGGUGCAGCAAACUUGGGCUAGACGUCAAGGUUUUUCCUGCCGCUAUUCACUCAACCACGGGACUUGAAGGUUGGACUAGAAAUUAUAAAACAAAGCCAACGAUACCAGUAACUUGAAAAUUUCCUUUCUUUUCCUCACAAAUUUCUGCCCGUUUUCUCCUCAAUCACUUGCUUUUUCUCGCUGAUUUUUUCUUGUUUUCCUACUGAUCUGAAAAAAACUCUCACUAAUUUUUUUUGCUUCUCUCUAAUCUUGAACCUUGUCCUCCAUAGGGGUGAAAACACCAUAUUUAUAGGUGCCAAAUCCAGACUUCAAAGACCGGAUUUGCAACUUCGAAAUUUUAAAAAAAAAAAAAAAAAAAAAAAAACGUGAAGGAGGGAGGACGAAAUUUGAAUUCAAAUUACAAAAAAAAAGAUCUCCAAAUCUCAGCUCUUUCCAAGCCAUUAAUGGAGGAUUUGAAAUCAACAAUAGUUUGUUAUACCGAUUUGGGACUGUUUUUGCUGAUUUCUUUGGAGUCACGGGUUAAGCCAUGAGAAAAAUAGGCCGAUUCUUGAGUAGGGCGGCAGACGGCGGCCCGCUACGGGGCUUAGGGGGUUUCUGGUUUGGGGGAGAAAAAUGAGGAAGGAGAAGAAAGAGAAUGGAGGGUCGCUGGUUUUUCAUGGCGUAUUGGGAAAAAUGGAGAGCGAUGAAAGGAAAGAUGGGGACUUAUCGGUGACUGCUCACUGCAAAAGUUGUGCGUGUAUUUAAUUUUUGGCAAAAUCACAGCCCUAUGCGUUAUUUUUC